GAUGAACGCUGGCGGCGUGCCUAAUACAUGCAAGUCGAGCGAACAGACGAGGAGCUUGCUCCUCUGACGUUAGCGGCGGACGGGUGAGUAACACGUGGAUAACCUACCUAUAAGACUGGGAUAACUUCGGGAAACCGGAGCUAAUACCGGAUAAUAUAUUGAACCGCAUGGUUCAAUAGUGAAAGACGGUUUUGCUGUCACUUAUAGAUGGAUCCGCGCCGCAUUAGCUAGUUGGUAAGGUAACGGCUUACCAAGGCAACGAUGCGUAGCCGACCUGAGAGGGUGAUCGGCCACACUGGAACUGAGACACGGUCCAGACUCCUACGGGAGGCAGCGGUAGGGAAUCUUCCGCAAUGGGCGAAAGCUUGACGGGGCAACGCCGCGUGAGUGAUGAAGGUCUUCGGAUCGUAAAACUCUGUUAUUAGGGAAGAACAAAUGUGUAAGUAACUAUGCACGUCUUGACGGUACCUAAUCAGAAAGCCACGGCUAACUACGU
rnacentral:rRNA from 1 species